rnacentral:misc_RNA from 1 species
AAGUCGUAACAAGGUUUCCGUAGGUGAACCUGCGGAAGGAUCAUUAUUGAAACAAACAAUAUGGAUGAAAAUCGCUCGGGGUCUUUUUAGAUCUGGCUUUUGAUUCCUAUUUCACCCCUUGUGCAUUAUGUAAAACAUACAUCUCGCUUUCCCUGAGCUUCAUUGAUCAGGGGCCGAGCAUAAAAAACCACUUUUUGAUGUUUCAUCUUCUUGAUGUUGACACUUUUAAAAUUAAAUAACAAAACUUUCAACAACGGAUCUCUUGGCUU